rnacentral:rRNA from 4 species
CUGAAAUCAGAUGGGACUACCC